rnacentral:rRNA from 1 species
GACAGCAGUAGCCGCGGGAAUACAGAGGGUGCGAGCGUUAAUCGGAUUUACUGGGCGUAAAGCGUACGUAGGCGGCUUUUUAAGUCGGAUGUGAAAUCCCUGAGCUUAACUUAGGAAUUGCAUUCGAUACUGGGAAGCUAGAGUAUGGGAGAGGAUGGUAGAAUUCCAGGUGUAGCGGUGAAAUGCGUAGAGAUCUGGAGGAAUACCGAUGGCGAAGGCAGCCAUCUGGCCUAAUACUGACGCUGAGGUACGAAAGCAUGGGGAGCAAACAGGAUUAGAUACCCGCGUAGUCCCUGUCUCUUAUAA